GACGAACGCUGGCGGCGUGCUUAACACAUGCAAGUCGAACGCCCCGCAAGGGGAGUGGCAGACGGGUGAGUAACACGUGGGAACGUACCCUUUGGUUCGGAAUAACUUGGGGAAACUCAAGCUAAUACCGGAUAAGCCCUUAUGGGGAAAGGUUUACUGCCGAAGGAUCGGCCCGCGUCUGAUUAGCUAGUUGGUGAGGUAAUGGCUCACCAAGGCGACGAUCAGUAGCUGGUCUGAGAGGAUGAUCAGCCACACUGGGACUGAGACACGGCCCAGACUCCUACGGGAGGCAUCAGUGGAGAAUAUUGGACAAUGGGGGCAACCCUGAUCCAGCCAUGCCUCGUGAGUGAUGAAGGCCUUAGGGUUGUAAAGCUCUUUUACCCGGGACGAUAAUGACUGUACCGGGAGAAUAAGCCCCGGCUAACUUCGUGCCAGCCGCCGCGGUAA
rnacentral:rRNA from 1 species